AUUGAACGCUGGCGGCAGGCCUAACACAUGCAAGUCGAACGAGUGGCGGACGGGUGAGUAAUGUCUGGGAAACUGCCUGAUGGAGGGGGAUAACUACUGGACACGGUAGCUAAUACCGCAUACCAUCGGAUGUUCCCAGAUGGGAUUAGCUAGUAGGUGGGGUAAAGGCUCACCUAGGCGACGAUCCCUAGCUGGUCUGUGAGGAUGACCAGCGAAACUGGAAAUGAGACACGGUGCAGAAUCCUACGGGUGGCAGCAGUGGGGAAUAUGGCACAAUGGGCGCAAGCUUGAUGCACCCAUGCCGAGUGUAUGAAGAAGUCCUUCGGGUUGUAAAGUACGUGCAGCGGGGAGGCGUUACCCGCAGAAGAAGCACCGGCUAACUCCGUGCCAGCAGCCGCGGUAAUUC
rnacentral:rRNA from 1 species